UUAAUAGGUCAAGUUAGUUUAUUAUAUAAAACAUCAGCCUGUGGAUUUGAAAACGAAAUUUGUUUCACUUGAC
rnacentral:tRNA from 1 species